rnacentral:lncRNA from 1 species
AAUUCAGCUGAAUGAGAUUAAACACCUCCCAGGAUUGCUCUUGGCUUCUUUGUGGUGGUUGUCACCUUUUACCCAUCUGAGCUGCAGGACUACAAAAUCAUUAUCCCUUCGAUUCUGCUGUUCUGCAUGCCAGCAUUUUGCUUUUUCCUUGUUCCUCUGCACGGCUGGGAACAUUCCUCAGAGAAAAGAAAAUUAUGUAGAGUAAACGCAAAGGUCAACUCUAACAUCAAAGGGACUCUUUUCUCCACAACAAAGACUAUUUAAAUAAAAAAUAGAGGUA